rnacentral:misc_RNA from 1 species
UGCCCUUUUAUACACGCACGCGCGCGUGACAGAGGGUCGACAGCUUCAGUGCCCAGCCAGGCCACCUCACAGAUACCCUCCUCUUAGCCUCAUCAUCUCUGCACUUCCUUUUGUGGAGCACUGCAACCGACGAGGAGCACGGCGAACACCGGCAUGGCACACACACGCGCACUUUAAGAGUACAUUAUCAUACAUAGCCUUCAUUUUUCUCUUUGUGUUUGUGUGUUAGUGUGUGUGUGUGUGUGUGUGUGUGUGUCUGUGGAGCUCUUUGGCAGCUCUAACCGCACUGGUAGUCACACCGAUUAGUCAUGUUUUCUUCGUACAUCCUCUACGACACGGUGGCCAUCGAGGCCGUCUACUUCCCCCGCCACUUCACCAACGAGUGCGCUGAUAGUGGUGGUGCAGCCGCGACGAACACCACUAGUGGUCCCUCGUCCGCUGCGACGGCGACCGUCGCGGUCCGCAGCGACGGCGACAACGAAUGCUACUCGCUCACCUUGCGCGACAUCCUGCUGCACCGCCUCACAGAGCGUUACGUUGGACGCGUCAUUCCCUCUCGGGGUCUCUGCGUGGCCAUCACAGAAGUGAUGGAGUACUCGGCCAGCUCCGUGCGCGGCGCGGCAGCAUCGGCGUGGCUUACAGUGACCUUUGGUGUGUGCGUGUUCGCGCCGAACCCAGGCACGCGUCUCAAGGCCCGCAUCGCUUAUCAGACGGCUGCUGGUGUGUACUUGACGAUGGAUCUGUUUGUGGCCAUUCCGUUCCUGGUGCCGGCGGAGAUGCUAGUGCCUGGUUCACGCUUCAGCGCCGCACAAGGAUUCUGGUACCUCCCGCUGGACACGGAGGACCAAGAGGGCGGCGAACGCAGUGCGGAGCUCGGCGCAGGCCCAGCGGUGGCAGGGAUGGGGCAAGGCAGCGGCAAGGACGGCGACGGGUAUGGUAGUGACACAUUGGCCUCAAGCGCGCUCUCAUCUACGACCGCCGCUGCCGCAGCGCCGUACAACGCCUACAUGGUGGGUGCUGAGGUGAUUGUGAAGGUGGCGUCGUGCACGGUGCAAUCGGAAGAAACUGUAUCCGCAGCGGAAGACGCCGACGGCGCCAGUGGCGGGGACAGCGGCGCCAUUCCGAUUAUGGAGCUGCGCGGCAGUUUCGUCGGCGAUGCUCUUGGGCCCAUGUCAUGGUUCGAAAAGGACGACGAUGCGUGAGCGGAGAGAGCCAGAAAGUGUCCGUUUGCACUGUGUGUGUGUGUGUGUGUGUGUCCGCGCACCUCCUUCAUGUCUUUGUGUCUUUAUGAUGGAUGAAAAAGUAGGUUGUGGUAUGGCCUGCUGCGGAGCCCCCACCCCCGCAACUGUUGCGCGUGCCUUCUUGUUCCGUUCUUUGCGCUCCGUCCGUCUGCCUCUCCUCAGUCCGCUUCAGGAGUGUGGUGAGGGGUCGGAGGGCGCUGAGGCAGCCUCGCUUCCUCUCAUGC